CACACCGCCCGUCACACCAUGAAAGCUGGUUUUACCAGAAGUCGCUGCGCUAACCGUAAGGAGGCAGGCGCCCAAGGUAUGAUUAGUGAUUGGGGUG
rnacentral:rRNA from 1 species